rnacentral:lncRNA from 1 species
UCACAAGUUAUUUUUACAAACAAUAGUUAAAAUAUUGACAUUUACAAAACAUUUACCUUUAAAAAAAAAAGAAAAAAGAGCAUUUGAGGUUAUCCUGAUCAUAACAUGGCUCUCCCUUGUUUUCCAGUGUGUUUUCUUGAAAGGAAGGAAAGAAAGACAGCUGCCAGUAGGGUGCUGGGUGUUGGGUAAAACGUUCGCAUGCCCAUGGGAGUGUGUCCCCGGUGGGCAUCAUCCAUCAUCUGGGUCAUGGCAGAAAAGAGAUUGAGAACCUUCCAUCUCCUAGCUUCAGGAAAGACCCAGUGAAUCCAUUACAUUCAAAAGAACAUUGAUCUUUGUGCCAUCCUCCAGAGAGAAAUCUCCAACCCUAUCUGGUGUCAAACAACCCUUGAGAAAGCGCACAGUUUGGAGAAGAAGUCUAUGCUGCAUCGCUGGAGCGUCGGCCCGGAAGUCGGGGCACCUGCGGUUCCAGGUCGGGCGCCACCACCCACGAGCUGGGAGACCCCGUGCAGGAGAAAAUGAACUGGAUCAUGGAAGAGAGAGCAACUUUUGAUAAAGGCGUAAAGAGCAGCCCUGGGCACAGCUGGUAAGAAGCCAGCCAGCAAGGAAGAACAUUCCACGCAAAGGACACAGGUUAGGCAACUCCAGACAAUAGUACCAAGGUGGGUAUGGCUCAUUUUUGCAAAUAUGGACUCUUGAAAUAAGGAGGAACGAUCUCUAUUCAAAGUGAAGCCAUAGUUAGCCCUUGUCUUAGUCCUUUCAGGCUGCUCUAACAUAAUACUAUGUAGGCUAUGUGACUUGGAAACCACUGAAAUUUAUGUCUUAGGUUCUGGAGGCUGGGAAGUCCAAGAUGAAGGCACCAGCAGAUCUGGUGUUUGCAGCAGGCCACUUCCUGGUUCAUAAAUGGCCAUCUUCUCACUACGUCUUCAUAUGAUGGCAGGGGUGAGGGAGUUCUCUGGGAUGUUAGAUUUCAACAUAUGAAUUCGGUGGGGGGACAGAAGCAUUCACUCUAUAGCAAGGUCUUUAAAACCGUAGACAAGCAGAUAUAAACAAAUCUCUGACCGAGUAAAAACUAUUUGAUUAGUUUAUCUCUGUUUUUAACGUAUCACUCUCAAAUUAGCAAUCAAUCCAUUAACACCUAUUAUUUUCUUGUCAUAAUGGAGUAAACAUAUAGAUUGUUCCCUGAACAAGCUUAAAUCUGGUUGAAUAGAGAAAAUGAAUACUGGAAGAAUUAAAAUGCAUUGAAAUGUUAAACCGUAGGCAUUAACAGAAAGUUCAGUGGGAGUUCAUAGAUCAUUUCAGAGAAAAGAGAGUGGUCUACAGUUGGAGAUGGGACUUCAUCCAUUUCAUCAAUAAACACUUGUUACAUAUUUAUACUUAGGUUAGG